rnacentral:rRNA from 1 species
GACGAACGCUGGCGGCGUGCUUAAUACAUGCAAGUCAACUUGACUUUAGAUAGCAAUAUCGAAAAGUAGGGUGGCGCACGGGUGCGUAACGCGUAGGUAAUCUGCCCUGAGGUCUGACAUAACCCGUCGAAAGGCGGGCUAACAUCAGAUGAUAUAUAAUCACGACAUCGUGGAAAUAUCAAAUCUUCGGAGCCUUGGGAUGAGCCUGCGUCUGAUUAGGUAGUUGGCGGAGUAAUAGCCCACCAAGCCUACGAUCAGUAGCUGGUCUGAGAGGAUGAUCAGCCACACUGGAACUGAGACACGGUCCAGACUCCUACGGAGGCGAGC